GAUGAACGCUGGCGGCGUGCCUAAUACAUGCAAGUCGAACGCUGGAAAUCUAGCUUGCUAGAUUGAAGGAGUGGCGAACGGGUGAGUAAUACAUAAGCAACCUACCCACGAAGACUGGGAUAAUCUCUGGAAACGGGGACUAAUACCGGAUAGGUAAUCGGAAGGCAUCUUCUGAUUAUUAAAGGUUAAGAACACUGGUGGAUGGGCUUAUGGCGCAUUAGUUAGUUGGUGAGGUAACGGCCCACCAAGACGAUGAUGCGUAGCCGGCCUGAGAGGGUGAACGGCCACAUUGGGACUGAGACACGGCCCAGACUCCUACGGGAGGCAGCAGUAGGGAAUUUUCGGCAAUGGGGGAAACCCUGACCGAGCAACGCCGCGUGAGUGAUGACGGCCUUCGGGUUGUAAAGCUCUGUUGUAAGGGAAGAACGGUAGAUAGAGAAUAUCUAAAUGACGGUACCUUACCAGAAAGCCACGGCUAACUACGUG
rnacentral:rRNA from 1 species